rnacentral:lncRNA from 1 species
AUCCAGUUCCGGGAGUUUGCACGCAGACGCUCUGCUUCGUGACCUUGGCUCUGCUCUGUGGGCGCCGCCCCCAGCCUGGGCGCGUCCAUCGUCGAGUACCUUCUCCUCUGCCUCCCCCUCCCUCUGCUUCUAUCUCUCUCCAAUUGCCCUCCCUGGCCUGCGGCCGCCCGGUCCUCCUUCCCAGCCCAGUGCAGCCAGGCACCCGGGUUCGGCUUGCUCAGGUCUCUGUCCGGGACUGGGAAGCCACGGAGGGCCGGGAAAGUGGCACACUCCUGGAGCUCAAGCUUCCUACUCUCUCAUCGCUGAAUAACUACCGGGCAGGACUGGGUGGAACAGACAGCAUAUUUAGGUCAUUGAUGGGCUGCUGGGUGGAUGGAGCUGGAAAGUGAUGGGCACUGCUUUCUGGGGCUGCCCAGGUUCCUUCCGAGGGCUCGCUUUUCCUGGGCAGAGCGGGAAAGAGGAGGGGCAGGCCGGUCGCGAAACGCAAAUAGUCGAGAAUAGCGAUCCGGGGAGAAGCAGGUGUCUGUGGGGCCCAAGAGAAGUACCAUCUCGUUAAAAAUUCAGAUUGAACUAUCUUACAAAUGGCUCCCAGAAGAUCCACUCCCUGUGGGAACACAGCAGUUGUGGAAGUGAAGACAGGACUGGACCCAGAAUAAGGGUUCAAAUAUGUGGGGAAAUCUGACCUCUAAAUUCUUAUAAGUCAGAGAGUGACUGAACAACAGCAGUGAGACAUCGAAGAGUUUUAAUAUCUGCUGUAAACCUUGGCACAGAUCAUUUACUUCUCUAAGACUGAAUCCAAAAAGCACAAUGGAAUACUAUAAUAAGCUGAGACAGCAUGGUGAAUUCCAGACAAGCCUGAGCAUUCCCUAUAGCCAGAGAAGGAGGCCCAACACCUAACAUAGCCUUGGAUGCAGAACUGAUAGAACUUGGGGAAAGUGAUGAAGUAGUUGACCUCACCUGUGAAUCUCUAGCACCUGUAGUGAUUGACCUAACUCACCGUGACUCUGUAGUGAUUAUUGAACAAAGGAGGAGGCCAAGAGCAAACACAAGGCCACUCCAAGACCACACUGGCAGUUGUGUGGUGAACAAUGAUGAGGAGGGAGUGAAAAGGGACAGAGAUGUAUGUAUAACCAACAGUGCCCACCAUAAUUCCCUGCAAAAAAAUUUUUUUUGUCAUAUACUACCUGGUUAUAUUCAGUGUCAAGUUUGCAUGGAUGGAUGCUCAGAGAUUGAACUUAGUAUACAACACAUCUACUCUAUAGAAUGUGGCCACAUCUGUAGUCAGUGCUUCUGCACUUCCUUUACACAUACUAACACUGCCCAGUUUGUUUGAAAAAAAUCAGCCUCCAUCAGUAUCACUGCAGUUAUAUAUGAUGUAUGCCUUAUUGCUCAAGACAGAUCCUGUGGCUGGAUUUUUCCAUGUCUUUGUGCAGGAACUAUGGGUUGUUGGCAUCCAAUGCUCUGAGCUUAAAAAUACUGAUUUUUAAAAUUGCUAUCUGCAGUAUAUAAGAAACUCUUUGAUUUCUCAUAUGCUCUGAGACUGCUUUUUGUUUCCUUUGGUUUUAUGCUUCAGCUCUGGACUUCAGUUGCCAGAGUGUGCCAGAUACUGGGGUCGUCCUUAAAGCAACUUUCCCUUUCUUAUAGUCAUCAAUUUUUAGUUGGCCACAUGUGGACAUUCUGGACCACAUAAAUAAAGACAACACCCUAGAGAUGGUGAAGUAAGUUGUAAACUAAAAUCCUAAGCCCCCUAAUUGACUGAAUGGAACCCCUCUUGACCAAAGUGACCCCAGAAAAACCUUAAAACUGAGUUCCUGGCCAUGACGGGAUGGGAGGUCAGACACGCUUCAUUAUAUCUCCGUCUCUUUUAUGGUUUAGACACAACAACUGACCAGCAUUAAUGUCAAAAUAAAGAUCAUAAGGCUGACAGAAUAGACCCUUUGUGGCAAUAACAAAUUAUUCGUAAGAUCUAAGGUCAUGCCAGGCAAGUGUUAUGUCAUGCACUCCUACACUUAAAGAAUAAACUAUGUUCUAACUGCCACAAGAUUUUCUAUUUAUUUAUUUAUUUAUUUAUUUUUUGAGACGGAGUUCUGCCCUGUCAGUUUUUCUUUUUGUUUAGCAGCUAAACAAGCACCAGCUGAGAUAAGCAAUUUUUUUUUUUUUUUUUUUUUGAGUCAGAGUCUUGCUCUGUCGCCCAGGCUGCAGUGCAGUGGCCCGAUCUCGGCUCACUGUGAGCUCUGUCUUCUGGGUUCAUGCCAUUCUCCUGCCUCAGCCUCCCAAGUAGCUGGGACUACAGGCACCCACCACCACGCCCCGCUAAUUUUUUUGUAUUUUUAGUAGAGAUGGGGUUUCACCGUGUUAGCCAUGAUGGUCUCCAUCUCCUGACCUUGUGACCUGCCUGCCUCGGCCCCCCAAAGGGCUGGGAUUACAGGCGUGAGCCACCGCACCCAGCCACUUUCUCUUGAUAAGAAGACCACUGACUAUGGGCUGGUUCUGGCCAGUUUAUAGAGGCUAAGCACCCUUGUUCCUUCCUGUCCUGAACAGGCAUUUUGACUUAUAGGGUCUAAUUGUUAUGCAUUUAAGUGUUAAGUCUCCACCUUAGGCCUGGCGUGGUGGCUCACGCCUGUAAUCCCAGCACUUUGGGAGGCUGAGGUGGGUGAAUCACUUGAGGUCAGGAGUUUGAGACCAGCCUGGCCAACAUGGCAAAACCCCGUCUCUACUAAAAAUACAAAAUUAGCUGAGUGUGGUGGUGCACGCCUGUAAUCCCAGCUACUUGGGAGACUGAGGAAGGAGAAUCAUUUGAACCUCAGAGGCAGAGAUUGCAGUGAGCUGAGAUGGCGCCACUGCACUCCAGUCUGGGUGACAGAGUAAGACUCCGUCGCGAAAAACAAAAAACAAACAAUAACAACAACAAAAAGAGUUAAGUCUCCACCUCAAAGUGAACAUGGGUUGUAUGUUACAUGCAUGUUUGUUCAAUAAGCAUGAGUCAGGAUGACCUUCAUAAUUAUUCAUAGCUCCUCCUGUAACCUGUUGAAUAUGUAUGUUUAGCCAACCUAUUCAGCAUCAAGUUCCUACCCCUGCUCCUCCUUUGAAGUGCCUGUCUCUGGUCUUUGCCAGAGAUUGUACUUCCUGGCCUGUGGGAUGGCCACCUUGCAGGCCUUUAACGCUUUAUAAGAAAUAAAGUCUCCUCUCC